GCUCUGAGAAAUAAGUGCUCCUAAGAGCUGCUUGCACAAAGAAUGACCUAUGUCUGGAUUCUCUCUAUCUCCCAUCAGGUGUUCGGAUGGUGAGUGAGAAUAAGGAGGAGAAACCCCAGCAGGAAGAUGCUGAGCAAGUAGAACCACAUGGAAUGUUAUCAGGAAGAUCCAAAGGGAAUGUUUCCAGGAGUUGUGCACUCCCAGAAAAAGCAAAGCCUGUGAGACUCAGCAAAGGCCAGAGGAAAACUUGAGGAGCCACUUAGACCUUAUUACAAGUGAGAGAAUCAACUAGGAAGAGACAAGCUACAUAUGCCAUGAGUGUGGGAAAAGCUUAAUGGGAGCUCAAACCUAUUCACACAUCAAAUAAUCCACAGAGGAGAGAAACUGAACACAUGCUCUGACUGCGGGAAAAGUUUCAAUCAGAACUAUACCCUUAUCAGACAUUGGAGAACCCACACUGGAGAGAAACCUACACAUGCUCUGAAUGUGGGAAAAGCUUCAAUCAGAGCUCAGACCUUAUCAGACAUCGCGGAAUCCACACAGGAGAGAGACCUUACACAUGCUCUGAGUGUGGGAACAGUUUCUAUCAGAACUCUGACCUGAUCAAACAUCGUAGAAUCCACAU